GACGAACGCUGGCGGCGUGCCUAACACAUGCAAGUCGAACGGAAAGGCCCUGCGUUUGUGCGGUGAUCGGGUGGCGAACGCGGGAGUAACACGUGAGUAACCUGCCCUUGACUUUGGGAUAACUUCAGGAAACUGGGGUUAAUAUAGGACAGGAGAUCCUGCUGCAUGGUGGGGGUUGGAAAGUUUCGGCGGUUGGGGAUGGACUAGCGGCUUAUCAGCUUGUUGGUGGGGUAGUGGCUUACCAAGGCUUUGACGGGUAGCCGGCCUGAGAGGGUGACCGGCCACAAUGGGACUGAGAUACGGCCCAGACUGCAACGGGGGGCAGCAGUGGGGAAUAUUGCACAAUGGGCGGAAGCCUGUUGCAGCAACGCCGCGUUCGGAAUGACGGCCUUCGGGGUGUAAACCGCUUUCGCCUGUGACGAAGCGGGAGUGACGGUAAUGGGUAAAGAAGCACCGGCUAACUACGUG
rnacentral:rRNA from 1 species